AACUCGUGAAGUCGAGAGGAGCACAACCAUACCAUUUUCAGCUUGUAGAUGUGUUAGUGAGGUCUCAAGGAGCUUGGGAAUGCUUCGUUGGGUGAAUUUGGACGUCGGGAAAGCAAGGUUCAAAGUUGGCCGAAUUUAGAUUGUGUGGACAGUUUUCCGGCGACGGCGCCGGCGACGGCG